UACGUAGGGUGCAAGCGUUAAUCGGAAUACUGGGCGUAAAGCGUGCGCAGGCGGUUCGGAAAGAAAGAUGUGAAAUCCCAGGGCUUAACCUUGGAACUGCAUUUUUAACUACCGGGCUAGAGUGUGUCAGAGGGGGGUGGAAUUCCACGUGUAGCAGGUGAAAUGCGUAGAUAUGUGGAGGAACACCGAUGGCGAAGGCAGCCCCCUGGGAUAACACUGACGCCUCGAUGCACGAAAGCGUGGGGAGCAAACAGG
rnacentral:rRNA from 1 species